GACCAUGUUACUCAAAGAGGUCACCACCUGAGAUACAAACUUUUGGGGGUAGGGGCAGGGAGAAAGUGAAUCCUAGUGGUCUGGCCAAGGCAGAAAGAGCCAGGAAUGGGGAUCUAAGCAUCUUCAGCUAUUGUCUGAAUUACAUAAUGGUGAACCACAGUCUCUGUCUUCAUGGAGGGAAGAACAGAAGACAAAGAGCCUGAAAUUAAUGCAAGGCAGGUGGGACACCUAUCCACCUGAAGGAACUUUCUGAUUGACUCAAGUAGAAGAGACCAAGACCAUGGAAGAAACAAGAAAAUAUUUUAUUUAUGACUCUUUCCUAAGGUUGCAGAUUUUACAUUACAUUAAUUAUCUCUGUGAGGUUGGUGCUAUUAUCCCCAUUUUAGAGAAGAAACCUCAAAACUCAGAGAAGUGACUUAAUUAAAGUUACACACCUGGCAAGUGCCUGAGGCUGGAUUUGGAGCCACAUCUUCGGGACAUUAUGUCCUGUACUCUAACCACUACACCAUGCUGCCCUGGGCACCCUGAACACGAGACACCACGCCUACCCACAGGAACAUACACCCAGCAUGUCAGUCUACAUUGGAGGGUUUCCAAGCUUCAACCCCUGGAAAAGGGAGGUGAGUUGGCGGAGAGCUACUCCAUUCCUGGCCUCCCGUUGCCUCCAUGUCCUUUUCAUCCUUCCUGGAUCUGAAUCGAGAUUCUCUGGUUGCUGGGUGAGUGAAAGGUUAAACCGGUUGGGCAGGGGAGAGGGAGAGCAGAAUCUAAACUGGGUAACUCAGUGGCAGGAACAAUGUGGGUUUUUGUUGGGUUUUUCUCCCGCCUGGGAGAUUGUUCUCGGACCACGGCAUUCCUGAGAUGGAGAGAAUCAAGCUAGGGUGACUUCUCCCCACUUUGCUGCUACAGCAAAAACCAGCUUUCCAGGCACUCUUUUACCAGAAGCUGAAGUUAAAAUUAAAAGCAUUCUAAGUUAGGGGGCUUCAGUGCUUUUCCCUGGCCCUGAUUCAGAGCAAUAAAAGCAUUACAAAUGAAUCACAACUCAGAAAACUUUGGACAAGGAGAUCUAGAAACCGUUUGGGAAAUGGAGAAAGGGAUAUCAACCUUUUAACUUUUCACUGAGCAGGCAACAAAUAAAUCUCUUCCAAGAGAACAAAGCUUAGUAUCUGGAAUGAUGAAGCCUGCUAAUAUCUGGACCAUCAGAGUCUUUUACCCACUUCUCUAGCUAAGAGUGGGACUAAGGACAAAGAAAGAAAAACAGGAGCAAGAGAUGUAAGAACAACAGGGGAGAAAGUAAAGGCUGGGGGAGGAUUCUGGAGAGGAGAAAUCUCUCUGGGAGGAAGAUCCACAGCUCCGGGUGCAGAGUAGCUCAAUUUGGCUAGCAGCACAGUUUUCAGAGCCUGCAAUGGAAGCUGAGAUCACCAAGCUGGGGGGAAGGGAAGACACACAAUUGAGGUGGAGUUUGUUUUUAUUAGAAAACCCAUUUCAAUAAGCACUUCCCUGCCCCCAAACCAGGAGGCCUCCAAGAGACUGAUGUUUCUGAUUUCCUCUUUCCAGAGGUGGUCAGGCAGCCUCUGAAAGCUCCCAUUUCUGAGCCCCUGAGAAAGUCCUCAUUACCAGCUUUGCACCAAGGAGCCCCAAAGUGAGGAGAAGGCCUCUUGGGCUCAAGGUCAAUGCUGGGGAGUCUGUU